GGAUGAAAUGAUGUUUAGUUGUUUUCCCUGUUGGUUUGAUUGCCUGGAUGAUGGCUUCUUGUAUUAGCUCUAUCUGAUUAUUC